rnacentral:rRNA from 1 species
GACGAACGCUGGCGGCGUGCUUAACACAUGCAAGUCGAACGGUGAAGCGCCUUCCUUUUUGGUGGGUGUGGAUGAGUGGCGAACGGGUGAGUAACACGUGAGUAACCUGCCCCCUUCUUCUGGAUAACCGCAUGAAAGUGUGGCUAAUACGGGAUAUUCUGGGUCUGUCGCAUGAUGGGUCUGGGAAAGAUAUUGUUUCGGUGGGGGAUGGGCUCGCGGCCUAUCAGCUUGUUGGUGGGGUGAUGGCCUACCAAGGCGGUGACGGGUAGCCGGCCUGAGAGGGUGGACGGUCACACUGGGACUGAGACACGGCCCAGACUCCUACGGGAGGCAGCAGUGGGGAAUAUUGCACAAUGGGCGCAAGCCUGAUGCAGCGACGCCGCGUGAGGGAUGGAGGCCUUCGGGUUGUGAACCUCUUUCGCCAGUGAAGCAGGCCUGCCUCGUUUGUGGGUGGGUUGACGGUAGCUGGAGAUGAAGCGCCGGCUAACUACGUG